rnacentral:rRNA from 1 species
CCGGCGCACGGGUGAGUAACGCGUAUGUAAUCUACCUGUAACAGAGGGAUAACCCGGAGAAAUCCGGACUAAUACCUCAUAGCACAUAUUAUUCGCAUGAAUUUUAUGUUAAAGAGACUCGGUUACAGAUGAACAUGCGUUCCAUUAGCUAGUUGGCGGGGUUACGGCCCACCAAGGCAACGAUGGAUAGGGGCUCUGAGAGGAAGGUCCCCCACACUGGUACUGAGACACGGACCAG